rnacentral:miRNA from 1 species
UUUGUAGGAUGAAAAGGUG